CUGUUAUGUUUUUUGUCAUGUUCUUUGGACAGGUAAAAUAACAAGAUCUGCUCUUUUGAUGAAAACUGUGAAAAAAGAUCCCAUUUCAUAAAAUUCUAAGAUGUUAAAAUGUAGUACAACACCUAAAAUGAAAAUUUUGUGCAUUUUUCCAGGUAAAACAAGUAGAAAGAAAAGGCUGGAGCAAAGAUGAGAAAAGCACCAUAUGCCAAGGGUUUGUAAGGAGAGUAGCAGAUCAGAAACCUUUGACUAGAGAAGAUGUGAAUGGAGACAGAUUCUGAUGUUGCCAUCAUUGGGAGGCAGGAUGACUAUAAGACACUAAUUCCUCAUCCAUAAAGAUUUCUACAAGUGGUUCAUUUGAAAUGAAUACAGAUUUCAUUACAAGACGUGUGCAUGGUGCAACAUCCUGGAUGGUGUGUAGUAUGUUUGUUAACAUGUGAAGCCUACGUGUAUUUCAGGGAGUUGUCUCCCAUGUUUAAGAUCAGUAAUGGCGGAUAUACAAUGCAGUAUGCUGUCUGGUCAUCAACAGAGAGUUUUGACACCCGUAUUUCUACCAAUCACCUCUGUAACCUUUGUUGUGUUCAUCAGAUAGAUUCACCAGAUGCAGCUGCUCCAUCUCCAUCACUGGUGAAAUGGGAAAUGACUAGUGGACGGUCAUCACUUUGUAACUCACCAUUUUGCAGCCCAUCUCUUCUCAUCUUCAGUGGUGGCCUCUGGAGGAAUGGUUGCAGUGCAGUCUUCGUGUCUUAGGCAGAUAACUUCCUUUCCUUUGCU